CAUCGAAAAUGGCAACUCAAAACGCCGUGCCUGUAGAAGAAGUCCAACAGAGAGUUGCAAUCUAGCAGAAUUUUGUGAAAUUCAGUUUCAGUAAUACUACAGUCACUACAGUGCACAACGGUACACACACUAUUAGUCGCAAGACCGGCCAUUGUUCAAAAAUGCCUUUCAACUAAAUUUCAAACAAAAAUCAACUUUAAAACUUUAAAAUUCUCAAAUUCUUCAAUCUUCAAAUUAAUUCUGUUUGAAUGUUUCAGCGAAACUGAUCGCGUAGGUGGUUAAGGAAGUGGUAAUGAUAGUACUGACAACUACGCGAAAAAUGUUGAUUGGCACGCCGGCGCAAAGUGCUGAACUAUCAUGGCGACCGUUUUGUUUUGGAAAUUGGUGAAAUUCAGAGGGUGAAAAGUGGUGGAAAAUGGCAUUUAAUCCAAAAAUUUAUACGAAAAAUAUUGUUUGUUACGAGAUUUUCUAUAAGAAAUCUGUAGUAGCAGCUAAUACAUGGCAGACCUUGGAGGAAACGGAGUAGAAGAUAGACGUCACAUCAAAGUACGACUCUACUAAAAGCAAAUUUUUCCCGAUUUUUGUAAAUCAGGUUUUGUGAAGUAGCUUUGUAAAAUAUGUAUUUCACAAAGCUGUUCAAAAAUUGGAUAAUAAAUAACAAAAUCAUACAAUUUAA